ACGCGAAGAACCUUACCAAGGCUUGACAUAUAGGGAAAAAUGGCAGAGAUGUCAUGUCCGCAAGGGCUCUAUACAGGUGGUGCAUGGUUGUCGUCAGCUCGUGUCGUGAGAUGUUGGGUUAAGUCCCCGCAACGAGCGCAACCCUCGUUCUGUGUUGCCAGCAUUUAGUUGGGGACUCACAGGAGACUGCCGGGGUUAACUCGGAGGAAGGUGGGGAUGACGUCAAAUCAUCAUGCCCCUUAUGUCUUUGGGCGGACGCAUGCUACAAUGGCUGGUACAAACGGCUGCAAUACCGCAAGGUGGAGCGAAUCCGAGAAAGCCAGUCUCAGUUCGGAUUGGGGUCUGCAACUCGACCCCAUGAAGUCGGAGUUGCUAGUAAUCGUAGAUCCACAACCGCUACGGUGAAUACCGUUCCCGGGGCUUGUACACACCGCCCGUCACGUCACGAAAGUCGGUAGCACCCGAAGUCAGU
rnacentral:rRNA from 1 species